UACGAAGGGGGCUAGCGUGCUCGGAAUCACUGGGCGUAAAGGGUGCGUAGGCGGGUCUUUUAAGUCAGGGGUGAAAUCCUGGAGCUCAACUCCAGAACUGCCUUUGAUACUGAGGAUCUUGAGUUCGGGAGAGGUGAGUGGAACUGCGAGUGUAGAGGUGAAAUUCGUAGAUAUUCGCAAGAACACCAGUGGCGAAGGCGGCUCACUGGCCCGAUACUGACGCUGAGGAGCGAAAGCGUGGGGAGCGAACAGG
rnacentral:rRNA from 1 species